rnacentral:tRNA from 1 species
GGGGUUGUGGCUCAGUGGUAGAGCACUCACCUAGCACAUGUGAGGCACUGAGUUCAAUUGUCAGCACCA